GGCAGACUCCGCCCUCCAAGCCAGUGGAAUAUGUGUCAGACCCCAACCACCUGCAGAGUUUCCAGCGUGAAGGGAGCUCCCCUUCUAAGCAAGCAACUGCUUGGAGAUGAUCCAUUUUUGGAAACAUCCACAUUCAGUGACCCAACUGCAUUGCUAAAAUACCUGAACCAGUAAAAGGUCAUUCUGUUUUUGUCCACUGGUUUCCUGCAAUCGUCAGCCAGAAUUCAAGCUUAUAUUGGAAUAUAAAGUCUACACACCCGUAUUACUCUGUUUGAAAUAAUGAAUAAUUCAAAGAUAAUAAAUAUAUUAUCUUUCCAUGAGAUGGGCACAGAAUACAUGUUGGUACCAUACUGCUAUCUUCAACAUACAACUCUGA